GAUGAACGCUGGCGGCGUGCCUAAUACAUGCAAGUCGAGCGAACAGACGAGGAGCUUGCUCCUCUGACGUUAGCGGCGGACGGGUGAGUAACACGUGGAUAACCUACCUAUAAGACUGGGAUAACUUCGGGAAACCGGAGCUAAUACCGGAUAAUAUAUUGAACCGCAUGGUUCAAUAGUGAAAGACGGUUUUGCUGUCACUUAUAGAUGGAUCCGCGCCGCAUUAGCUAGUUGGUAAGGUAACGGCCUACCAAGGCGACGAUGCGUAGCCGACCUGAGAGGGUGACCGGCCACACUGGAACUGAGACACGGUCCAGACUCCUACGGGAGGCAGCAGUAGGGAAUCUUCCGCAAUGGGCGAAAGCCUGACGGAGCAACGCCGCGUGAGUGAUGAAGGUCUUCGGAUCGUAAAACUCUGUUAUUAGGGAAGAACAAAUGUGUAAGUAACUAUGCACGUCUUGACGGUACCUAAUCAGAAAGCCACGGCUAACUACGUG
rnacentral:rRNA from 1 species